UACGUAGGGCGCAAGCGUUAUCCGGAAUUAUUGGGCGUAAAGAGCUCGUAGGCGGUUUGUCGCGUCUGCCGUGAAAGUCCGGGGCUCAACUCCGGGUCUGCGGUGGGUACGGGCAGACUAGAGUGAUGUAGGGGAGACUGGAAUUCCUGGUGUAGCGGUGAAAUGCGCAGAUAUCAGGAGGAACACCAGUGGCGAAGGCGGUGCUCUGGGCCGGAACUGACGCUGAGGAGCGAAAGCGUGGGGAGCAAACAGG
rnacentral:rRNA from 1 species